CCUACGGGAGGCAGCAGUAGGGAAUCUUCCGCAAUGGACGAAAGUCUGACGGAGCAACGCCGCGUGAACGAUGAAGGCCUUCGGGUCGUAAAGUUCUGUUGUUAGGGAAGAACAAGUGCUAGUUGAAUAAGCUGGCACCUUGACGGUACCUAACCAGAAAGCCACGGCUAACUACGUGCCAGCAGCCGCGGUAAUACGUAGGUGGCAAGCGUUGUCCGGAAUUAUUGGGCGUAAAGCGCGCGCAGGCGGUUUCUUAAGUCUGAUGUGAAAGCCCCCGGCUCAACCGGGGAGGGUCAUUGGAAACUGGGAAACUUGAGUGCAGAAGAGGAAAGUGGAAUUCCAAGUGUAGCGGUGAAAUGCGUAGAGAUUUGGAGGAACACCAGUGGCGAAGGCGACUUUCUGGUCUGUAACUGACGCUGAGGCGCGAAAGCGUGGGGAGCAAACAGGAUUAGAUACCCUGGUAGUCCACGCUGUAAACGAUGAGUGCUAAGUGUUAGAGGGUUUCCGCCCUUUAGUGCUGAAGUUAACGCAUUAAGCACUCCGCCUGGGGAUACGGUCGCAAGACUGAAACUCAAAGGAAUUGA
rnacentral:rRNA from 1 species